AAAGAUUAAGCCAUGCAUGUCUAAGUAUAAACGAUCUAAUCGUGAAACCGCGAAUGGCUCAUUAUAACAGCUAUAAUUUACUUGAUCUUGACACUAUCCUACUUGGAUAACUGUGGUAAUUCUAGAGCUAAUACAUGCAUUAAAGCUCUGACCUCACGGGAAGAGUGCACUUAUUAGAACAAAACCAAGCGGCUUCGGCUGUUUUCGGUUGACUCAUAGUAACUGAGCUGAUCGCACGGCCUUGCACCGGCGACGUGUCUUUCAAGUAUCUGCCGUAUCAACUUUCGAUGGUAGUGUAUCUGACUACCAUGGUGAUCACGCGUAACGGAGAAUAAGGGUUCGGCUCCGGAGAGUUCGCCUGAGAAAUCGCGAACACAUCUAAGGAAGGCAGCAGGCGCGAAAAUUACCCACUCUCAGCACGAGGAGGUAGUGACGAAAAAUAACGAGACCGUUCUCUUAUGAGGCCGGUCAUCGGAAUGGGUACAAUUUAAACCCUUUAACGAGUAUCUAUGAGAGGGCAAGUCUGGUGCCAGCAGCCGCGGUAAUUCCAGCUCUCAAAGUGCAUAGAAUUAUUGCUGCGGUUAAAAAGCUCGUAGUUGGAUCUGUGCCAUAGGACGUGGUCCACCUUCUGGGUGCGUACUAUGUUCCUAGGCUUUUUGCUGGUUUUCCCGUCGUAGCCUUCAUUGGUUGCGGCGGGUGGCUGGCGAGUUUACUUUGAGAAAAUCAGAGUGCUCAACACAGGCGUAUCGCUUGAAUGAUUGUGCAUGGAAUAAUAGAAAAGGAUUUCGGUCCUCUUUUAUUGGUUUUGUGGACUGAGAUAAUGGUUAACAGGGACCAACGGGGGCAUUCGUAUCGCUGCGUGAGAGGUGAAAUUCUUGGACCGUAGCGAGACGCCCUACUGCGAAAGCAUUUGCCAAGAAUG
rnacentral:rRNA from 1 species